CAAUUUUCCAACCACAUAUGAAUCUAAAUUAGACUCUGCUUUAUAAAUCUAUGAGUUUGGAUUGGAGCCAGCACUAGGAUUACUACAACUCAGAGCAGGAAGAAGAGUAGGAGGGCAGAAGAGGAGUUCCAACAGAAAGUUAACCAUGAUGAGAAACUAUGGGACCCCUCCUCUCUGCAAAUGUCACAAUCUGGUUCCUUUAAAAAGAUUGGAGAAAAAUCGAAAAUACCAUUAAGGAAAAAGCCCUGGGAGGAAGGCAAGACCUGGACAGGUCUGAAAAUUUGUCUCUUGAUACCACAAGGAGAUUUGUAUGCAGGGACCACCCUAGGUGACAUCCAACUCCCUGUGAUCACAGGUCUUGGUGGGACAAGGUUCUACUGAAGGGCCAAGGACAAUGGAGCAGCAAAGAUGACCCAGGGAAGGAAGAAGUUACAGCU
rnacentral:lncRNA from 1 species